rnacentral:misc_RNA from 1 species
AAGUCGUAACAAGGUUUCCGUAGGUAAGUCGGCAUCGCUCCACGCUCUGCCCCCACGGGACCCCCGCUAACCAACGUCCAGGUGAACCUGCGGAAGGAUCAUUAUCGAGUGCCGGGCGCAAGCCCGUACCCGCACCCAGUGUCGACUCUCUCUGUUGCUUCGGCGCGCACGCCCCGGCGGCGCCGCCGAAGGACCCAACCAAACGCAUGGCAAACCGGUCCGUCCGAGGAUACGCAAAUCAGUCAAAACUUUCAACAACGGAUCUCUUGGUUCGG